AUAGCGUGCAAACCAGAAGGGGCAGGGCUAAGGGCCUUCACUGUGAGGUUUCUUGUUGCUGCAGGGAGAUAAGGAAGAAAAGAAAGUUAGUGACACGCCCCCUCUAACUCCAGUGGGUUUCAAGCUUUCUUUAUUUAUUCAUGUUUAAACAAGAAAACAUGAAAUUUGCCUUCUCAGGUGCAUCUAACAAGAAAAAGAAAGAAAUGAAAGCCAAACAAAUGGGGACAAUACAGGUUAAGGGGCAGAAGGAGAUGGAAAAUGUCUCAGGAACAUCAUUUGUGAGAUGUCAGUCUACUUUCAAACACUCACACUGAUUACAACUUGGGUUAGGGAUGCCAAUUUCCAUUGAAACACAUUGAAAAAUAUUUCUAAAAAGCUUAAUAAUGGCAGUCUUUCCUACUUCAUCUAUUACCAGGUCACUUAGUGAGUUAUUUUUGUCACACUAGACCAGAUGCCAGAUCUUUCAGAGGGCACACCCAAUCUCCAGCAUCACCAGUUAAUGGAAUGCCCACAUCUUUGUUAUAUGGAAAGAAGAUUCUGGAAAAAAAACCCACCAAUACAGAACCUGCAAGUUAUGAAGCCUAGCAUGACCAGUCAGAAAGUCGUGAUCAAAGAAAUAUGUACUAAAACCAAAAAGCUCGUGAAGGAAUGCCACGAAUGAUCUACAAAAUGUCAAGCACUGAAUGGCUCCAUUUCUUACCUUCAUUGUGCAUUGUAGCCUAAAAUUGUAGGCUAAGAUUCACCUGAUCACAUCUGUAGUUACACCGCCCAUCAUGGCUCCUUUGUCUGCACCAUUUACAUGCUUUUUUUCCUGAGCUGUUAAGUGGAGAUUGGUGAACACUACAGGAACCUCAUCCACUUCAGGAACAGCUGCUUACCUCAGGCCAUAAAGCCACUUAACUCUCCCUAACCUGAACUUACCUGCCCUGUUCUGUACCCACCUGCUGGUUUAUGUCUAAUUCUACCAUAUCUUACAUGUGUAUCGGCUUCUGCAUUUGUCCUUUUUCCCACAAGUGUUUAAUACAGUCCUUAUAUCUGUACAGGCCUGUUUUGCACUAUGUACAUAAGGCGGAGUCAACUGCCCAUCACCACAAUGGACUGCCCUCAGCCAUAUAAAGGACGGACAACCCAAAGUCCUUUGCAGUUCAUUUGAAUGCACUUGAGAGUUGCUUGGAUUGCUGCUGACGGAUGGCCUUAUGUGGGCAGGCA